CGUUUCCUGCCCUGUGCGUGCUAUCCGUGUUUAUAAACCCACGGAUAAGAAACGGAGUCUUUAUUUCCCUGAGGAUUGCAGGCCUCCCGCGUGUUUUCUGCGCGCGGACGUUGGAAGCGAGGAAAUCGGGGAAGCGGACACCACCCUGGCCAAAGCCGGGUUUUUAUCUCGCGGAUACACGGCAGCGGCGGGUACAUC
rnacentral:other from 1 species